AUAACUGUGGCUCAGUAGUAGAGCAUCUGCUUGGUAUGCACAGGGUCCCUGGUCCAAUCCCUGGCACUUGCA
rnacentral:tRNA from 1 species